rnacentral:lncRNA from 10 species
CUUUGCUCUCUCCCUCAUUCCUUAUCGGGGACUCUGUAAGGCAGGACGGCGAGUAAUGACUUCCCUCUGUGAUGCCUUGAGCCUCUUAUGGGAUCAUGAGGAUUGUGUGCUGGGAUCCCGGCAGACAAAGCUGAGAUUCAGCUGGAUAAAGCAGGCUGUAGCACAGCUGAUGUUUGUUCUCUGUGGAAAUCAGGCUCUUUUCUCCUAAGGUCAGUGCCCAAAAAGGUAAAGAAAACCUCAUGCAGUGUGCUUGCUUCUCCUCAUGGGCAGCCCAUUUGGAUACCCUGGAAAUUGAACCUAAUUUAAAAGCUUAUGGCCAAGUAAAGGAUCCUGACUCUAGCUCUGGAUACAGUAUUUGGCUCAUUCUGGGAACCUGACUUUGAUAAGAAGAUGAAGAACUUUGUGAAUUGAAGUAAAUCACGUGAGAAUCACUGACCUGACCUAAGAAAAGUUUGGAUUUCUGUGAAACAGUAUUCUACCACUCCUAAAGAAAUAUGCAUUUGGCUGCAGUUUUCCACUUUUCACAUAGGGGAGUGAGCUUUCUCUUGUUUGAACAACCAUCAAGAACUGGGAUAUUAUCUCAUUUCAGGUGAAAAUAGUAUUCAUGUAUGCUUAUCACAAAUUCAGUAUUCAGGGUUCAGUAUUUGCACAGAGGAAAAGUAAGCAUAAGUUUUAGAUGAAAGACAUAAAUUUUAUUAUUUAUUUUUAACUUCAAAAAUAUUAUUUUCUAUGCACAUAUGGACCUAUAAAAGAGAUCAAGAAAUUAAUACAUGUAUAUAAUACAUUUAUAACUGCUAGACCUUUAUUUGAGUCUGAUCAUGUUACUCAGUGAGAAACUUUUUUUUCUAAGUCUUAAUAAGAUGUCUUACACUAUAUUUUUAUUUAUAUUGCUUUGGCUUGUGAUUAAUUGCUUUGCUAUUCAAUACUGGCAAAAUUUUUUAUACAGUAAAUAACAUUAAUUAAAAUAAAUUUAUAACUUAUUUAAAUAAAUCUAUCAAGAUGACCUUUCACAAAUUCAAUUCCUUUUGGUUUAAGACAGUUAUUUAAGGGAAAUGUAUUAUGUUUGUCUUAAGAAUUUUUUAAAUUUAUGAAAAAGAAGGAAAGAUUAAUUUCAAGAAAGGUUAUCCAGUCUUGGAGCUACCUGAUUAUAUUCAAGACAGAUUGGCUUAAAAAAUUUGUUAGCUUUAAAUAGCAGAAAUAACUACUCUUGCAUGUAUCAUAUACCAUGUCCCAUACCUCAUCAGCAUGUCUUAUACUAUAAAUAAAACUUUGAAGUCUAUUUGGAUAAGAUUUUUUGAAAAUCAGGUAGGAAUUUAUUAAAAGGAAAAACUGAGAUCUUCUCACCUACAUUACUGACUUGCAGUAGAGGGGUUAUUCUUUG